rnacentral:rRNA from 1 species
UGCAGUCGAGCGGUAGAGAGAAGCUUGCUUCUCUUGAGAGCGGCGGACGGGUGAGUAAUGCCUAGGAAUCUGCCUGGUAGUGGGGGAUAACGUUCGGAAACGGACGCUAAUACCGCAUACGUCCUACGGGAGAAAGCAGGGGACCUUCGGGCCUUGCGCUAUCAGAUGAGCCUAGGUCGGAUUAGCUAGUUGGUGGGGUAAUGGCUCACCAAGGCGACGAUCCGUAACUGGUCUGAGAGGAUGAUCAGUCACACUGGAACUGAGACACGGUCCAGACUCCUACGGGAGGCAGCAGUGGGGAAUAUUGGACAAUGGGCGAAAGCCUGAUCCAGCCAUGCCGCGUGUGUGAAGAAGGUCUUCGGAUUGUAAAGCACUUUAAGUUGGGAGGAAGGGUUGUAGAUUAAUACUCUGCAAUUUUGACGUUACCGACAGAAUAAGCACCGGCUAACUCUGUGCCAGCAGCCGCGGUAAUACAGAGGGUGCAAGCGUUAAUCGGAAUUACUGGGCGUAAAGCGCGCGUAGGUGGUUUGUUAAGUUGGAUGUGAAAUCCCCGGGCUCAACCUGGGAACUGCAUUCAAAACUGACUGACUAGAGUAUGGUAGAGGGUGGUGGAAUUUCCUGUGUAGCGGUGAAAUGCGUAGAUAUAGGAAGGAACACCAGUGGCGAAGGCGACCACCUGGACUAAUACUGACACUGAGGUGCGAAAGCGUGGGGGAGCAAACAGGAUUAGAUACCCUGGUAGUCCACGCCGUAACGAUGUCAACUAGCCCUUUGGAAGCCUUGAGCUUUUAGUGGCGCAGCUACGCAUAAGUUGACCGCCUGGGGAGUACGGCCGCAAGGUUAAAACUCAAUGAAUUGACGGGGCCCGCACAAGCGGUGGAGCAUGUGGUUUAAUUCGAAGCAA